rnacentral:rRNA from 1 species
AUGCGGCGUCGGCGGUACGAGAAGAAUAUCGGUUGCAGCCAAUUCGAUGACCUGAUCAAAACGAAAAUACAUCUGGUUGUCAAAAGGCAAACUAUUCCUGAUAUAGGCAAUGAUGAUGAAGUGCCAGUAUCAGGAAGAAAGCGACAUGUACAACAGAGAUUAGGAAAUAAUGUGGUUGUUUCUGAUUCGUAUAGGAGUCAACAUAGUAAUAAAAGGUUUAUAGUUGAAUUAUCUUCAUACAUAUGGCAGGUGCAGGAGGUGCCAUGCAAGCAAGCAGGGCGACCAGGAUCAUGCUGCAGGGGCUGGGUAUAUUUCCAGAGAAUGUCAUCAAGGCGGGAUUUUUUCUUCUAA